rnacentral:rRNA from 1 species
UUAAAGGAAUUGACGGAAGGGCACCACAAGGAGUGGAGCCUGCGGCUUAAUUUGACUCAACGCGGGGAAACCUACCAGGCCAGGACACCGGCAGGAUUGACAGAUUGAGAGCUCUUUCUUGAUUCGGUGGAUGGUGGUGCAUGGCCGUUCUUAGUUCGUAGGGUGACUCGUCUGGUUUAUUCCGAUAACGAACGAGAUCCUCACCUGCUAAGUAGUCGAUACCGGCAUCCUUGGUGCAGCCGGCGAUAGUAUAUCUUCUUAGAGGGACACACGGUUUCCAGCCGUACGAAGUUGGGCAAUAACAGGUCAGUGAUGCCCUUAGAUGUUCUGGGCAGCACGCGCGCUACAAUGAAGGUAACAAAGUGUGGAAACCUAGGCCGAGAGGCCCGGGUAACCCGCUGAAGGACCUUCGUGUUUGGGACUGAGGUUUGUAAUUAUCCCUCACUAACGAGGAAUUCCUAGUAAGCGGGAAUCACCAUUUCCUGCUGAUUAUGUCCCUGCCCUUUGUACACACCGCCCGUCGCUACUACCGAUUGAGUGAUUUAGUAAGGCCUUUGGACCGGCGCGCGCGUCUUCGGUUCGCCAGGACGCCGCUGCGCUCGGGAAGAUGGCCGAACUUGAUCACUUAGAGGAAGUAAAAGUCGUAACAAGGUUACC